rnacentral:rRNA from 1 species
UACAGAGGGUGCAAGCGUUGUUCGGAAUUAUUGGGCGUAAAGCGCGUGUAGGCGGCUUUGCAAGUCGGGUGUGAAAGCCCUCGGCUCAACCGAGGAAGUGCGCCCGAAACUGCAGAGCUUGAGUGCCGGAGAGGAUGGCGGAAUUCCCCAAGUAGAGGUGAAAUUCGUAGAUAUCGGGAGGAACACCGGUGGCGAAGGCGGCGACCUGGGUAGAUACGUGACGCUGAGGCGCGAAAGCGUGGGAGCAACAGG